UACGUAGGAGGCGAGCGUUGUCCGGAUUUACUGGGCGUAAAGCGUGCGCAGGCGGUGAUGUAAGACAGAUGUGAAAUCCCCGGGCUCAACUUGGGAACUGCAUUUGUGACUGCAUCGCUGGAGUGCGGCAGAGGGGGAUGGAAUUCCGCGUGUAGCAGUGAAAUGCGUAGAUAUGCGGAGGAACACCGAUGGCGAAGGCAAUCCCCUGGGCCUGCACUGACGCUCAUGCACGAAAGCGUGGGGAGCAAACAGG
rnacentral:rRNA from 1 species